UUUUUUAAUACGCAGUGGCGGUAUUUUCUUUAAUGGCAUUUAAAUUUGUGGUUCUUUCACGUUUUUAGGUGGUUUUAGGACGGCAUUCGCUUAUUUUUCGUGGUGGCUGCGAAACGUAAACAAAGGGUCGCCAUAUUUCGAUGACACUCCAGUGUGACCAUUUUUUGCAGAGAGUCUAUUCUAAUUGAACGGAAUUUUGAGAGAGCGAAUGAGAAUGGGAAGAAAGAGAGAGGAAAAGAAAAAGAUCAUGCGCCAUUUCUUUGCUGCUCCGCGUUUUUCGGUUUGUUUGAAGUAAAAAGUGUUUAAAUCCUCGAAAAUAUCAUUGUUCAUCGCAGUACAAAGUGCGGUUUUGUAUGUACGCAUGUAAUUUUAACAGAACACAUGUAAGUGCCUCCCAGAUCGGAUGAGAAUGGGAAGCGAGCCAGGAAAGUAAACAAAUCACGCGCCAUUUUCUUGCUGCUCCGCGUUUUUCGGUUUGUUUGAAAUAAAAAGUGUUUAAAUCCUCGAAAAUAUCAUCGUUCAUCGCAGUACAAAGUGCGGUUUUGUAUGUUCGCGUGUAAAUUCUACAAAACACAUAGAAUCGCCACUGAUUUGAGCGCUUCGCGUUGUUCUCGCACUGGCGUUGUAAAAGAGAUGGAAUCCAGCGAAAGAGCAACCUGACGAUCGAACACUCCUUCAUCACCUGAGCAGCAGGUCGCCCCAUGCGGUGGACAGGAAUAACUCUGGAUAGACUGUGGCAGCCACUGAUGCCUCAGCUGUGUCGCUGAAUCGACAAUGUGGGGCUCCGUCCGCUGCAGUAGGGACCAGUGAUCAACGGCGGAGCUGUUGGUUCACGUCCACGGGAAAUAAUGUCAGCCACCCACCAUUCAUACCCCGCCGAAUCAAAAGCUGGGCUUCAGCUUUGAGACACAGGAUGUACCGUACUCUUUGCCACAAACCGAGUCUUAUCGGUCCCCCCCGCCAGACAUAGUCCUAUCCAAGCCAGACAGAAACGUAUGCGAACCUAACAAGCCAUUGUCAUCCUUCGAAUUGGCCAUCGACAACAAGGACUUUGACUAUGGUAACCAAGGAAGGAUCAACGCGGGCUACUAGAUUCUAUAUAAAUCUCACUGUUGUUAGGUUUAAGGAUAUAUGCGUACAUUCAUUAAGAUAGUGGAUACACAUGUUUUCCAAUUGUUAAUUUAUUUAUACUAAGUUAAGUUUUGAUGAAUAAACCUAUUUCAAAAUCA